GCCCCCGUUGUCUAAUGGUUAUGACGUCAGACUUCUAAUCUGGAGGUUGCGGGUUCGAGUCCCGCCGGGGGUU